CCUACGGGUGGCAGCAGUCGAGAAUCAUUCACAAUGGGCGAAACCCUGAUGCUGCGACGCCGCGUGGGGGAAUGCAGCUCUUCGGAUUGUAAACUCCUGUUAUGUGGGAGCAAAUUAAUAAGCUAGUACCACAAGAGGAAGAGACGGCUAACUCUGUGCCAGCAGCCGCGGUAAUACAGAGGUCUCAAGCGUUGUUCGGAAUCACUGGGCGUAAAGGGUGCGUAGGCUGUUUCGUAAGUCGUGUGUGAAAGGCGCGGGCUCAACCCGCGGAGUGCACAUGAAACUGGGAGACUAGAGUACAGGAGAGGGAAGCGGAAUUCGCGGUGUAGGGGUGAAAUGCGUAGAUAUCUGGAAGAACAUCGGUGGCGAAGGCGACUAUCUGGCACACAACUGACGCUGAGGAGCGAAAGCGUGGGUAGCAAACAGGAUUAGAUACCCCAGUAGUC
rnacentral:rRNA from 1 species